rnacentral:rRNA from 1 species
AACGAACGCUGGCGGCAUGCCUAACACAUGCAAGUCGAACGAGACCUUCGGGUCUUGUGGCGCACGGGUGCGUAACGCGUGGGAACCUGCCCUUAGGUUCGGCAUAACUCCCCGAAAGGGGUGCUAAUACCGGAUAAUGUCUUCGGACCAAAGAUUUAUCGCCUUUGGAUGGGCCCGAGUUGGAUUAGCUAGUUGGUAGGGUAAAAGCCUACCAAGGCGACGAUCCAUAGCUGGUCUGAGAGGAUGAUCAGCCACACUGGGACUGAGACACGGCCCAGACUCCUACGGGAGGCAGCAGUGGGGAAUAUUGGACAAUGGGCGAAAGCCUGAUCCAGCAAGGCCGCGUGAGUGAUGAAGGCCUUAGGGUUGUAAAGCUCUUUUACCCGGGAUGAUAAUGACAGUACCGGGAGAAUAAGCUCCGGCUAACUCCGUG